GAUGGUACUAGUUCUGUGUUCCGUGGUUCUGUGCAGUGUUUUCAGGUUUUUUGCUCUGUAGUCCGUGUUUUUUUGGAAUUAAAAUUCGUGUUGAAUGCUUUUUUCAAAAAUGACAAACAAUAGCCCAACCAUUGAAAACAAAACCCUACGUGAUGAACUGGUUAAAACUGCCGUCAGCUUUCUACAAAAUUCAAAAGUCCAAGAUACGCCGUUAGCAAAGAAACAGGAAUUUUUACAACGGAAAGGCCUCACUAACGAAGAAAUCGAAAAAGCUUGUGAAAUAUCAGGAGCUUACUUGCUACAUGAACAACAAUUAAGGGUGCCUCCACCCUUACCUAUUUCUGUUAAUGGAAAUCAGAAGCAGCUAACAUUCUUUUACAAAAUUAGGGAAAUUCUACAUAGUCUAGUGAUCUUCAGCUUUGUUGGAUAUGCCCUCUAUAAGUUGUAUGAGAGAUUUAUUGUACCUUUCUUGUUUGGCAAGAAAAAAAAAACUUUUGAUGAGUCUAUAGAAGGUCUAGAUGAAUAUAUGAAGAAAUCUGUAGCUGAACUAAAAUCCGAAUUAGAUAGUGUUAAAGUUGAAGUUCACAAAAUAAGUAGAAAUUCAGAUUGGAGCAAAGAUAGGCAUUUGUCAGAUAUAAAAUCUGAUAUUUCUACUGUUAAAGGAUUAUUACUAGGAAGAAAACAAUUUCCAAGUAUGUCUCAUAGUCCUGUGGUACCUCCUUCCAUUCCUGCUUGGCAAAUGUCUAGUGUUGCAGAUGCUUCAGAUGGUGACACAGACCAUAAAACUGAAGAUAUAGAAGAAAUUGGAUCUGGUAGUGGAUCUUCUGAACCAGAACACUGUACAAAAACGAGCGAGUCUAGUCUAGAGAUAUUAUGAAACCCGUGCGUCGGACUAAGAAAAUUCUGGAGAUCAAAUUUGCUCAUAGUUGAAUACGCUCAGUAGCGUGCCACUGACUGUCUAAAUAAUACCAGCCUGUAUCUCAAAAGAUCAAUACCAAAGGAUUGUGAGAAUGUUAGUUUCCAAAGACAAGAAGAUCAAGACCAUUAGUGAUAAAAUUAACUAAUUGAACUACCUUGUAAUAUAUGUAUAUUUUCUGACUUUAUAUUUGGUGUGAAAGAAUUAUUGGAACCUAUUUGAAAUAAAUUAACUCAAAGCAUA